UGAUGGCGACCGGCGGACGGGUGCGUAACGCGUAUGCACCUACCUUAAACAGGGGGAUAACACUGAGAAAUUGGUACUAAUACCCCAUAUUCGGCAUCGUAAAACUCCGUGGUUUAAGAUGGGCAUGCGUUGUAUUAGCUGGUUGGUGAGGUAACGGCUCACCGAACCUUCGAUGGAUAGGGGUUCUGAGAGGAAGGUCCCCCACAUUGGAACUGAGACACGAUCAAAACUUAACGGGAGGCAGCAGUGAGGAAUAUUGGUCAAUGGGCGAGAGCCUGAACCAGCCAAGUAGCGUGAAGGACGACGGCCUACGGGUUGUAAACUUCUUUUAUAAGGGAAUAAGUUCGCCACGUGUGGUGUUUUGUAUGUACCUUAUGAAUAAGCAUCGGCUAAUUCCGUGCCAGCAGCCGCGGUAAUACGGAAGAUGCGAGCGUUAUCCGGAUUUAUUGGGUUUAAAGGGAGCGUAGGCGGGCUUUUAAGUCAGCGGUCAAAUGCCACGGCUCAACCGUGGCCAGCCGUUGAAACUGUAAGCCUUGAGUCUGCACAGGGCACAUGGAAUUCGUGGUGUAGCGGUGAAAUGCUUAGAUAUCACGAAGAACUCCGAUCGCGAAGGCAUUGUGCCGGGGCAGCACUGACGCUGAGGCUCGAAAGUGCGGGUAUCAAACAGGAUUAGAUACCCUGGUAGUCCGCACGGUAAACGAUGAAUGCUC
rnacentral:rRNA from 1 species